AGUUGAUUGGGAAACUCAUCAAAUUUUAUCGAAAUACCGAGACAAGCUUGCUUUGUCAAUGGCGGGCCGCACAUUCCCACAAAGGAUGCUGUUCCACUCCGGAGCACGGCGGAUUACAAAGACGAAGAGGCACUCAAAUCCUGUCAUUCGGAGUUUCAUCGCAUCCUUUGAUGUGGA
rnacentral:sRNA from 1 species